UCGAACGGGAAACCUUUUAUUGAAGCUUCGGCAGAUUUAGCUGGUUUCUAGUGGCGGACGGGUGAGUAACGCGUGGGUAACCUGCCUUAUACAGGGGGAUAACAACCAGAACUGGUUGCUAAUACCGCAUAAGCGCACAGGACCGCAUGGUCCGGUGUGAAAAACUCCGGUGGUGUAAGAUGGACCCGCGUUGGAUUAGCUAGUUGGCAGGGUAACGGCCUACCAAGGCGACGAUCCAUAGCCGGCCUGAGAGGGUGAACGGCCACAUUGGGACUGAGACACGGCCCAGACUCCUACGGGAGGCAGCAGUGGGGAAUAUUGCACAAUGGGGGAAACCCUGAUGCAGCGACGCCGCGUGAAGGAAGAAGUAUCUCGGUAUGUAAACUUCUAUCAGCAGGGAAGAUAGUGACGGUACCUGACUAAGAAGCCCCGGCUAACUACGUGCCAGCAGCCGCGGUAAUACGUAGGGGGCAAGCGUUAUCCGGAUUUACUGGGUGUAAAGGGAGCGUAGACGGACUGGCAAGUCUGAUGUGAAAGGCGGGGGCUCAACCCCUGGACUGCAUUGGAAACUGUUAGUCUUGAGUGCCGGAGAGGUAAGCGGAAUUCCUAGUGUAGCGGUGAAAUGCGUAGAUAUUAGGAGGAACACCAGUGGCGAAGGCGGCUUACUGGACGGUAACUGACGUUGAGGCUCGAAAGCGUGGGGAGCAAACAG
rnacentral:rRNA from 1 species